rnacentral:rRNA from 1 species
CCCCUAGUAACGGCGAGUGAAGUGGGAAAAGCUCAACUUUGUAAUCUGGCUGUCUUUGGCAGUCCGAGUUGUAGUCUAGAGAAGUGUUAUCCGCGCAGACCCUUAUAGAUUUCGGUUGGAAUGCCAAGUCAAAGAGGGUGAGAAUCCCGUAUUUGAUAAGGUGGUCUUGUGCAUUGUGAUACAUUUUCAAAGAGUCGAGUUGUUUGGGAAUGCAGCUCAAAGUGGGUGGUAAAUUCCAUCUAAAGCUAAAUAUUGGCGAGAGACCGAUAGCGAACAAGUACCGUGAGGGAAAGAUGAAAAGCACUUUGGAAAGAGAAUGAAAUAGUACCUGAAAUUGCUGAAAGGGAAACGAGUGAAGUUAGACUUGCGCAGUUGGUAUUCAGCCUUGGCUUCGGUCUUGGUGCAUUUGCCUUCUAUUGCAGGCCAACAUCAGUUUACUUUGCGGUAAAAGGGUUUGGGGAAUGUGGCUUCUUCGGGAGUGUUAUAGCCCCUUACUGGAUGCCGAAUCGUAGACUGAGGAACGCAGCGCGCCUUCAUGGCAAGGCUUUCAAGCCUCGAGCGCUUAGGAUGUUGGUAGAAUAGCUUUACACGACCCGUCUUGAA